rnacentral:rRNA from 2 species
AACGCCGCGUGAGUGAAGAAGGGUUUCGGCUCGUAAAACUCUGUUGUUAAAGAAGAACAUAUCUGAGAGUAACUGUUCAGGUAUUGACGGUAUUUAACCAGAAAGCCACGGCUAACUACGUGCCAGCAGCCGCGGUAAUACGUAGGUGGCAAGCGUUGUCCGGAUUUAUUGGGCGUAAAGCGAGCGCAGGCGGUUUUUUAAGUCUGAUGUGAAAGCCUUCGGCUCAACCGAAGAAGUGCAUCGGAAACUGGGGAACUUGAGUGCAGAAGAGGACAGUGGAACUCCAUGUGUAGCGGUGAAAUGCGUAGAUAUAUGGAAGAACACCAGUGGCGAAGGCGGCUGUCUGGUCUGUAACUGACGCUGAGGCUCGAAAGUAUGGGUAGCAAACAGGAUUAGAUACCCUGGUAGUCCAUACCGUAAACGAUGAAUGCUAAGUGUUGGAGGGUUUCCGCCCUUCAGUGCUGCAGCUAACGCAUUAAGCAUUCCGCCUGGGGAGUACGGCCGCAAGGCUGAAACUCAAAGGAAUUGACGGGGGCCCGCACAAGCGGUGGAGCAUGUGGUUUAAUUCGAAGCUACGCGAAGAACCUUACCAGGUCUUGACAUACUAUGCAAAUCUAAGAGAUUAGACGUUCCCCUUCGGGGACAUGGAUACAGGUGGUGGCA